ensembl:lncRNA
CAGAAUGCCAUCAAGCACCACCCUGCCUACCUGUGCCGAAAAGGGAAACAAAACCCAGGAACAACAACACGCAUGCCCACCAACUCCUAAUACCCAGAAAUCAUUCAGUGAGGUCAACAUCACCAUCUUCACUGAGAACAGAGCUGUGGUCUGCAGAGGCAACAACCAUGUUAGCACAAAUAAAGCUUCUGAAAACUUAACACUGUGUUUUAAAUCUAAUAAAGAUGAAGAGAAAUCACAACAACUCAUACUAAAAGGAAGACUUAUUCCUGUUUCUGUAUUAAUUAUUCUUGGAGCAUUUUCUUUCUUUUUAGUUAAAACAAAAUACAAAUCCUACCAGUCUAGAGUCUCUUCUUCCAAUGAUCCUGACCCUGCUUAUGAGAACGUGGACAUCUUUCAGUCCAGCCAGACCAGCAGCCCAAGAGAGGAAAUGAUCUCCAUGGAAAGCCACAAAGCAGAUACCAUCUACAACUGUCCAGAAGUGACGGCCACCAUGGAGGAGGCCCUCCAAACAGACUGACUCAGUUUACAGCAUGUUGUGGAAGCCAAACAAAUCUGCUACAUACACAGAACCACCAAGAGGUCAAACAAGAUCUGUGAACAGGGGGAAACAAAAGGAAACAGAACAGAAACAAAAAAAAGAAACUGAACAUUUUUUUUUAUUUCAGACAGAUACUCCAAAUAAUGACUAAAGCACUUAAAAAAUAAUAGCAACCCUCCACCAAGGUAUCUCACUCUGGUCAGUAUUUACUUUAAAAGGAUCUUGUAUAUAUUACUUUUGUUUUCUUUGUUCUUUUUAAACAUACUUUAAUACGUUUGUAGAAACAAGUGUAAAAAAAAAUACAAAGUACUGGAUUUUUUUCAUUUUUCCUCUUGAAACCCAUUUUGACAUGUUUGGCAUCAUUUUGACUGCAAAUGUUUGUUUGUUUUAUAUGGAUAUAUUACAUGUGUAGCAUUCAUUUCAUUGUUCAGUGAUGAAUUUCAAGUGAAAGCUUUUGAUCAUAAGUUUAUUUUGUUUUCCAAAAAUAAUAGUUAUUCAGAAACAGUUAUAACCUGUUAUUGUGAUGUACAUAACAAAGUCAUAAUAAAAU